rnacentral:rRNA from 1 species
UACGGAGGGUGCAAACGUUGUUCGGAAUCACUGGGCAUAAAGAGCACGUAGGCUGCGCGCUAAGUCAGGUGUGAAAUCCCCCGGCUCAACCGGGGAACUGCACCUGAUACUGGCGUGCUCGAGGACGGUAGGGGUGAGUGGAACUCCAGGUGGAGCGGUGAAAUGCGUAGAUAUCUGAAGGAACACCGGUGGCGAAAGCGGCUCACUGGACCGUCUCUGACGCUGAGGUGCGAAAGCGUGGGGAGCAAACAGG